GAACCCCAUUGGCCUAGCCCAACAGGCCUAGCCUGCAACACACGCACCGCAUCUACUCGGCUACUCCCCUGUUGCUCAAAAAAAAAAACUCGGUUACUCCCCUGGUUCCCCUGAAAAAAGGUUACUCCCCUGUUCUUCCCCGCCGCUCCUCACUCGAUCCCCUUUCCUCUAGCUCUCAUUGUCUUCUCUCUUUCUCUCUCAGAUCGAUGCCCAAAGUCCUCCGCACUUAAAUGCGGCCACAGGAAUCAGCAAUACUCAGCGCCGGCUCCUCGCCCUCCCAUCAUCGGCUAACCUGCGCCACCCUCCACUACAGCGUCCUACUUCUCAGGGUUCGCCUCUCUCACUACUGCGCCACACUCCAACUCGCUUUCCGGCCAUCCCGAGCCCGUGACACUGAUGCCGAGCACAACAUUCUAGAGGAGUGUACCUCUGGCUCCUUCCCAAGCACCUUAUGCGUGGAGAUCCGGUGGACCCGUGCGCCUGAUGAUGGACCAAGGGUCUCGAAGAUGGCAAAGCAUAUAGGGGGAACAGGAGAAAAGUAAUCCUUGUAGAUCAAUUUUGUGUGUGCGUGUGUUGCCAUGCGAAGAAGUACUGAAGAUAUGCAAUGAAAAUGGUAAUUCUUUGCAAAGUGUGGUUGUGGGGCUAGUCCGAAGCAUAUGAAUGAAAUGCUAGUAUUUUGUCAAACUUGUAAUAUUGAAGUUGUCUUGUGUGCAAUGAAAAUGAGACCAUUUUUUGA